GAAUACAUUUGUCCUCACAUGAACCUAACUAGGCAUUAAGUAGAAGUACAUAAUAACUAGAGUUCCAGCCUCUGGGUGUGAGAUAUAAAGACAUUUCUCCAUCGAUCACUUGGGGAUCACCUCGGCAGCCCCUGACCUCACCGAUUCCCUCCUGUUGUACAGCAGUACAUAGUAGGCUGACUAUGAUUGGCCCCGUCUGCCUCGUCCUGAUAAUGCUUUAUAAAAGCUUGCAUGGCCGGGCUUAUCCUCCCACAGCGCAGACAGAGUCACGCCUCCAUCUUCUGUACAUGGCAAGAGCCUUAGCAGAAGCACAUCGGACCCCCAUCGGACUGCUGGCGUCACAGGUGGAAAUAGAGAGAAGAGCCCUUCAGGAAGAACCACGCACACAUUUCCAGGAUGAGGCCCUUUUGCCGGCUCUCCGCAGUGGACCGACUUCCGACCAUUAACGAGAUGCAGGAGAGCGACACAGAGGAUAGAGACCUGGAGUGCUCCUCACACACCAUGGAAGAGUAUUUGGACUCUAUCAAAGAGCUCUCCCAGCCGGCUGCCUACCCUCUGCACGGGCCCCUCAGAGGUCACCGCCGCUGGUUAGUGCGCACCUGUCCCGGGGUAUCACCUGUGGCGCCAUCUGUACUCUUACAUUCGCUAAGGACCUCCGCAGCCUGGAUCCCUGUAGAACUAUCAGAUGUGUCAGUUACUUUAACCAACCAACCAAACGGGGACUCGUCGCCGCGUUUGAACCAGGACCAGUUGGACAGGUUGAUGCCACAGUCCCUGUUCGCAGGCCUGGUGUGAGCCACAGGGAGGAUUAACGCGGUGAACCAAUUACCUUUGCGGCGGUAACAGAGUGAACCCAGAGUGCUGUGACAUCAGCUCCAAGUUGCAUCACUAAUUCAUGUGGAAGAAGUUACUGAGAAGCCACUUUCCCAAUGCGAUAUGCAUUCCCUUUGAAGUGCUUAAUGAGUUCAACGGAGAUUAACAAAAGAUGAAAAGAGAAAAGUAUCAAGGACAGAACAAACCAAUGAGCAGCCCGAGGCGAGAGCAAACUAAGUGGGUUGCGUAUGGCCCCUCAGCCACCAGGGGGCCCCCAAAAAACUUUGGGUUUUGGGUCCCAAUAUCAAUAUUUAAUUGAAGAUACACUGCAGGUUUUUUUUGUACGUUGGCUCAUGACUAUGAGUAUGAAAGAUGUAAAAUACCUAAAUAUUAACAAAUAAACCUAGGUGUGUCCUCUCUAAACAAACCAAAAAUGGGAAUUCUCGUUGGAAUCGGAUAAUCAAGAUAAGUGUGCGUAAAAGAUUUGAAAUAACUACUGAUACGUAAAAGGAAGAUAUACACAUUGUAGGUUUUGACUUUUCAUGUCUGCCUUAUCUGUCAUUCUUAAAUCAAAUUUCUUAUCUGUAUUUGUUUUAAAUCUUCCACAGAAAAGGGGCUUCCUGCAGAUGAUAUGAAUGAAUUAAUAAAGCACGUUCAUUGC